UGUUGGUCUGCAGACAAGAACAUCUCCACAGAAGGUUAUUAAAAUGAACAGGAAAAAAAUAGGAUUUUUAAGAUGGGUCACUGUGUUCCUACUAACUACAACCACAAACAGCAGUGCUGAAAAUUUAACUUCUUUUAAUGACCCCUGCAACAACUACACUGCUCUGGAUCAACCCUGGAGAGCCACGAAUUCAACUGGACUGUGGAUCUCUGACAGAAAGUUCAACUGGAAUGGCUG